AGAGUUUGAUCAUGGCUCAGAACGAACGCUGGCGGCAUGCCUCAUACAUGCAAGUCGAACGAGGUCCUCGGACCUAGUGGCGCACGGGUGAGUAACAUGUGGGAAUCUACCUAAAGGUUCGGAAUAACUGCGGGAAACUGUAGCUAAUACCGGAUGUGUCUGCAAAGAGAAAGAUUUAUCGCCUUUAGAUGAGCCCGCACUAGAUUAGCUAGUUGGUGAGGUAAUUGCUCCACCAAGGCUACGAUCUAUAGCUGAUUUGAGAGGAUGAUCAGCCACACUGGGACUGAGACACGGCCCAGACUCCUACGGGAGGCAGCAGUAGGGAAUAUUGGACAAUGGGGGAAACCCUGAUCCAGCAAUGCCGCGUGAGUGAAGAAGGCCUUAGGGUUGUAAAACUCUUUCAUCAAUGAUGAUAAUGACAUUAAUUGAAGAAGAAGCUCCGGCUAACUUCGUGCCAGCAGCCGCGGUAAUACGAAGGGGGCUAGCGUUGUUCGGAAUCACUGGGCGUAAAGCGUAUGUAGGCGGAUCAAAAAGUUAGAUGUGAAAUCCCUGGGCUCAACCCAGGAACUGCAUUUAAAACUAGUGAUCUAGAAAUUGGUAAAGGUUAGUAGAAUUUCCAGUGUAGAGGUGAAAUUCGUAGAUAUUGGAAAGAAUACCAGAAGCGAAGGCGACUAACUAGGCCAUUUUUGACGCUGAGAUACGAAAGCGUGGGUAGCAAACAGGAUUAGAUACCCUGGUAGUCCACGCAGUAAACGAUGAGUGCUAGUCGCUGGUGCAAUGGUAUCAGUGUCGAAGCUAACGCAUUAAGCACUCCGCCUGGGAAGUACGGUCGCAAGAUUAAAACUCAAAUAAAUUGACGGGGGCCCGCACAAGCGGUGGAGCAUGUGGG
rnacentral:rRNA from 1 species